UUUGCAUGUUACUACAAAGCCCCUCGUCCACAAUUAAUCUUCUUUACCCGUACCGUACAAGUAAACUAAACGUCAGCCAAUAGGCAAUGACUCAUGAGAAUGUCAAAUCAAAGAAUUAUAAAAACGGUCUUAGCUUACGUCUUAGAAUCUAGUGAUCGAUGGUGUUAAAACGGUAAAUUUACUACUAAACUUAAAACUAUUGAAAUAUUAUACUACAUCUAACUUAUAGGCUACAAGUAAACUAAAAUCUAGUGGUAUUUAAAGACGGUAUUUAAAGGUGAUUUAAAGAUAUUUCGAUAUUGAAUUGAGGUAUUAAAUAGCGGACUGUAUUAUUUCUAAUCGCCCUUAAUAUACUUGGUCUAGCCUAGAACACGACCAGAUUAGAGUGGCUAAUACGUGGAGUAAACUACCAAGGAGGAAACAAUUAGAAGCCUAAGAAGGC